AGCGAGCUUGCCUAGAUGAAUUUGGUGCUUGCACCAGAUGAAACUAGAUACAAGCGAGCGGCGGACGGGUGAGUAACACGUGGGUAACCUGCCCAAGAGACUGGGAUAACACCUGGAAACAGAUGCUAAUACCGGAUAACAACACUAGACGCAUGUCUAGAGUUUAAAAGAUGGUUCUGCUAUCACUCUUGGAUGGACCUGCGGUGCAUUAGCUAGUUGGUAAGGUAACGGCUUACCAAGGCAAUGAUGCAUAGCCGAGUUGAGAGACUGAUCGGCCACAUUGGGACUGAGACACGGCCCAAACUCCUACGGGAGGCAGCAGUAGGGAAUCUUCCACAAUGGACGCAAGUCUGAUGGAGCAACGCCGCGUGAGUGAAGAAGGGUUUCGGCUCGUAAAGCUCUGUUGGUAGUGAAGAAAGAUAGAGGUAGUAACUGGCCUUUAUUUGACGGUAAUUACUUAGAAAGUCACGGCUAACUACGUGCCAGCAGCCGCGGUAAUACGUAGGUGGCAAGCGUUGUCCGGAUUUAUUGGGCGUAAAGCGAGUGCAGGCGGUUCAAUAAGUCUGAUGUGAAAGCCUUCGGCUCAACCGGAGAAUUGCAUCAGAAACUGUUGAACUUGAGUGCAGAAGAGGAGAGUGGAACUCCAUGUGUAGCGGUGGAAUGCGUAGAUAUAUGGAAGAACACCAGUGGCGAAGGCGGCUCUCUGGUCUGCAACUGACGCUGAGGCUCGAAAGCAUGGGUAGCGAACAGGAUUAGAUACCCUGGUAGUCCAUGCCGUANACGAUGAGUGCUAAGUGUUGGGAGGUUUCCGCCUCUCAGUGCUGCAGCUAACG
rnacentral:rRNA from 1 species